rnacentral:lncRNA from 1 species
AAAAUAUGUGUUUGAAACAUAAUCCUCCUCAUCUAUCACAUAAAAAAGUAAAAAAAUUAAUGUCAUAACUCAACUAUGUAAAAAAAAUUAAAUUAUUUACAGAUACUUUAACCUUAAGUUACUUACUAAUAACAUUUAGAUCCCAAUACUCAGAACUAGAGAAUCGAACAACAUCUUCAGCCUCAUCUUCUACCACAACAUCUUCAGUCUCGUCUCCUACCACA